rnacentral:rRNA from 1 species
GACGAACGCUGGCGGCGUGCCUAAUACAUGCAAGUCGAGCGCAGGAAAUCGACGGAACCCUUCGGGGGGAAGUCGACGGAAUGAGCGGCGGACGGGUGAGUAACACGUAAAGAACCUGCCCUCAGGUCUGGGAUAACCACGAGAAAUCGGGGCUAAUACCGGAUGGGUCAUCGGACCGCAUGGUCCGAGGAUGAAAGGCGCUUCGGCGUCGCCUGGGGAUGGCUUUGCGGUGCAUUAGCUAGUUGGUGGGGUAAUGGCCCACCAAGGCGACGAUGCAUAGCCGACCUGAGAGGGUGAUCGGCCACACUGGGACUGAGACACGGCCCAGACUCCUACGGGAGGCAGCAGUAGGGAAUCUUCCACAAUGGACGAAAGUCUGAUGGAGUAACGCCGCGUGAACGAUGAAGGCCUUCGGGUCGUAAAGUUCUGUUGUAAGGGAAGAACAGGUGCCGCAGGCAAUGGCGGCACCUUGACGGUACCUUGCGAGAAAGCCACGGCUAACUACGUGCCAGCCGCCGCGGUAA